rnacentral:rRNA from 1 species
GCCCGUCGCUCCUACCGAUUGGAUGACUCGGUGAAAUCACCGGAUGCUUACGAGCAGAAAGUGAUUAAAUCACGUUAUCUAGAGGAAGGAGAAGUCGUAACAAGGUAACGGUAGGUGAACCUGCCGUUGGAUCAGUUCUAGUUUUAAUAACUAACACCAACUUCUUUUAUUAAACAAAAACCAAUACAAAAUUAAAAACUAACUUCAUCAAAAACCAAGUCUCUAAGCAAUGGAUGUCUUGGCUCCUCACACGAUGAAGAACGUGGCAUAAUGUGUUAAGUAACCGGAGUUGCAAACAUCAUGACAGGUUAAUC